CAGGCAGUAUGACAUUUUUGUGGGGCAUCUGCGCAAUAAAACCAUAGAGCUGGAGUAGCUUACACUCGCACAUGAAGAUGUUAACGUUGAAGGAAGUCCUCGUCAAAAGUGUUCAAAGCAUGGCGGGGGGACACUGUUAAUGUCGUCCGUAUUAAAUUUAGGAAGGCCAAGCAGAAAACGUGGUCGUUCUUAAAAUACAAGAGAAGACCGGGGAAAGAAAAGGGGGAAGACGAAGGCUGUCCUAGUGAUCCUGUUGGGUAGAGGUCAAUGGAGCCAUCUUGAUGCAGGCUGCAAAACUACGUGGGGAUUACCCGUUGUGGUCGUCGGGCUGAUUUCAUCGGUGAACAGUGGCGAUUCCACCCGUGGGUGGAAGCGCCGUUUUCAUCACCGUCAACGGCGAAUAGUACAGCCACUUCCGCUUCCUCCACCCCACGUGGCCGAACCAUUACCUGAUAAGAGCUGGAGAAGCGGCCGCAGCCGCAGCCGCCUCGGAGCUCUGAGGAGCUGGAGGAUCUGCACAAGCUGCU
rnacentral:lncRNA from 1 species